GUGAUCGACAGUUACACGCGGAAGCCGUAUCGUCCUCAUUAAUUUCAGGUUUCCAAGAAUCGUACGUACCGACAGACGAAAUAUCCCGGCUUUCUUCUACAUAUACUUUGUCCUUCGUCCUGUGUAUAAGAUCAAAUAAAAGAAGAAUCAUUUUCUUCAUCAUAAGGGGGCAGGAUGCUCAUCGUGCAAAGAACCAGCAAACAUUCAGUUCAAAUAAAAAAAGAAUCAUCCUCUUUGUCAUCCCGGGGCAGGAUGCCCAUCGUGCAAGCAUCAAUAAAGAUUUUAAAAUAUCAUUGCAACCAUGCGCGAAGCAAUGAAUAAAUCUAGUGUUGUAUCGCUAAAAUAAAAACCAAAGAAUCGCGAAAUAGAAGCAGUGCUUGCUCGUUUAAAUUAUACCGCGUUUCGCGAUUUAAAUUAAUUUUAAGUGUUUUUUUGUCGACUGCGUGCAAUGCAGUCUUAUAGAGUCAGUGUUUGCUCGUUCAAAGUGAGUUUAACAGUCAUGUGGACUGUACUUAUAAAAAAUAAUAGAGUUUCGCGAAGUAAAUUCAGUGACCGUUCGUUAAUAAAUAAUUAUCGCGAAUUAGAGUCAGUGCAUCAUUGAAGAGGAUCUCAACCAACUUCGGUGUCUACCUACCUCAUUUUCAACCAGCUACAUAUCAUCCAACCUCAAUGUCGACCUACAUCGCGGACGAGUGUUUUGGAGCCACCGUAGAACUUCUUAGGUAGUAAGUGAACAAAUUUUAAGUCCCUCCAGUGCUCAAUCAUGUCGAGGACGAAAGGUCCGAAUCGACACGAGUUACUGGUUGUAAUUUUUUAAAUAAAUUAUUGACGAGCAUGACCGUGCGUAAUUCUUUUUUUGGAUUUACUCACGAGUGGUAUAUUUUUAAUCGCCUAUGUAUUUUCAUUGUUUAUUAGAUUAGGAUAGGGUCUUCUUGUUUCAUAGAUUGGAAUAAUUAAUAGCGCAAUUAUAAGCCCUUUUUCAUUUGUUUUUGCCCGCGAUAUUAAUAAUGAAAUCGGAUAUUAGUUUUUCCGAUUUCGUCGAUAAAGCAUGUAAUGUGAUCUACGUUAUAUGCAUUGCUUCGUAUUCAGUCUAUUUACUCUAUGUAGAUGAACAAUGUAGAUGUCGUGUUGUAUCAAUGUAGAUGAACAAGGAAAAUGAACAAGAAGACAAGCGCGACGGAUAGAUUCUGGAAAACGAGUGGUAGAUCAUGAUUUAACUUUUUAAUUAGAACAGCCACUUGUUAAAAGGAAUCGUCCGAGGUUGUUUGAUUAUUCUUUCAUACAAAAUUAAAUAAAUAUUCAUUUAAUUUUUUUGAUAAAAGAAAAGUCUCAGUAGAAUCAUUGUUUUUAAAAGAAAAAAGUAGAGUAGAGUAAUUGCCAAAGAAACAAAGAGACUUGUAGAGUCAUAGCCCGUAGGACCUAGAAUAAGUUAAUCAAUUUUUAGAUCAGGAUUUUCAGCUUUUAACAAACUAAUUCCCGUUUCUCCCCCCCGUGCUUUCUGCGUUCUCAUCUAUGCG